rnacentral:rRNA from 1 species
AUGGCGGCAGCAAGAGUGCAGCCUCCGCUCAACCCACGAGCGGCGUCGCCUUCCACGGCAGUCCCCACCUCCAACACUCAAAGCCUACAGAGCACGCCCCUCCAUACUUCCACCCCUUCCGUCCGCGCGCUGUUCCUCCGCGCCGUGGACCCCUCCCGUCCUGCCUCCUGGUCCGCCGCCGUCGCCGACCUUCUUGCUUCCGGAGACGCCGUCGCCGCUCUGGCCACCUUUGCCGCCGCUCUCCGCGCUAACCCGGCCGCGCUCCUCCCGGCCCUUCCCCCCGCCUUCCGCGCAGCUGCCGCCGCCACCUCGCUCGUCGCCGGCCGCCAGCUACACCUCCUUGCCCUCCGUUCCGGUCUCUUUCCCUCCGAUCCCUUCUCCGCCUCCGCUCUUCUCCACAUGUACCACCACUGCUGCCGCCCCCUCGACGCCCGCAAGGCGUUCGAUGAAAUUCCCAGCCCCAACCCUGUCAUUAUCACAGCCAUGUGCUCUGGCUACCUGCGAAACAAUCUAGUCUACCCCUCGCUCGCUCUCUUCCGCGACUUGCUCACAUCUGGUUCUGCCAUGGCGGUGGACGAGGCGGCUGCACUCGUGGCGUUCUCCUCGUCGGCCCGUGUCCCUGUCCGCGGAAUUACUGCUAGCCUUCAUGCGCUUAUUGUGAAGAUUGGCCUGGACGUGGAUGCUGGGGUGGUCAACACGAUGUUAGACGCUUAUGCCAAAGGCGGUGGUCGUGACCUGCCGGCUGCGAGGAAGGUGUUUGAUACCAUGGAGAAGGAUGUCGUGUCCUGGAAUACGAUGAUUGCGCUGUAUGCUCAGAAUGGGUUGUCGGCGGAGGCCCUCGAGCUGUAUUGCAAGAUGCUGAAUGUUGGUGGAGGCAUUAGGUACAAUGCUGUGACGUUCUCUGCUGUGUUACUGGCUUGCGCGCAUGCUGGGACGAUACAGACUGGAAAGCGUGUUCAUAAUCAGGUGGUAAGAAUGGGUUUGGAGGAAAAUACCUAUGUUGGAACUUCUGUAGUUGAUAUGUACAGCAAGUGCGGAAGAGUGGAAAUGGCAAGAAAAGCUUUCGGCAAAAUUAAGGAGAAGAAUGUCCUUUCAUGGUCUGCCAUGAUUACUGGUUAUGGUAUGCACGGUCAUGGACAAGACGCCCUUGAAGUUUUCAAUGAGAUGUGCAGAUCGGGGCAAAACCCUAACUACAUAACUUUUAUCUCGGUUUUAGCUGCUUGCAGUCAUGCUGGUCUUUUAGAUAUGGGCCGUUAUUGGUACAAAACCAUGAAGAAUAAGUUUGGGGUUGAACCUGGAGUGGAACACUACGGAUGCAUGGUGGAUCUUCUUGGCCGCGCCGGUUGUCUUGAUGAGGCUUAUGGCCUCAUUAAAGAAAUGAAGGUUAAACCUGAUGCUGCUAUCUGGGGAGCUCUUCUUAGUGCAUGUCGAGUCCAUAAAAAUGUUGAGCUGGCAGAAAUUUCUGCGAAAAGAUUGUUUGAGUUGGAUGCAACCAACAGUGGGUACUAUGUUUUAUUGUCCAAUAUAUAUGCAGAAGCUGGAAUGUGGAAAGAUGUGGAGAGAAUGAGAGUUCUGGUUAAAACAAGAGGAAUAGAAAAGCCUCCAGGGUAUAGCUCAGUUGAAUUGAAAGGUAAAACCCAUGUGUUUUAUGUUGGCGACACGAGUCAUCCUCAGCACAAGGAGAUCUAUUCUUAUUUGGGGAAACUGCUUGACAUAGCGCAAAAGGCAGGCUAUGUACCAAACACGGGCUCUGUUCAUCAUGAUUUGGAUGAAGAGGAGAAAGAAUCUGCGUUGCGCAUCCAUAGUGAAAAGCUUGCCGUUGCUUUUGCUCUGAUGAACUCUAUCCCGGGUUCAGUAAUCCAUGUGAUAAAGAAUCUCCGGGUCUGUACUGAUUGCCAUGCAGUAAUCAAGUUUAUUUCCAAGUCCGCUGAACGAGAAAUUAUUGUUAGAGAUUUACAGCGCUUUCAUCAUUUCAAGGAUGGAUCAUGCUCUUGUGGAGAUUAUUGGUGA